rnacentral:tRNA from 1 species
GGAUAGCUCAGUCAGUAGAGCACGAGACUCUUAAUCUCAGGGUCGUGGGUUUGAGUCUCAUGUUGGGCA